GGGGAUUUAGCUCAGCGGUAGAGCACUUGCCUAGCAAGCGCAAGGCCCUGGGUUCGAUCCCCAGCUCCG
rfam:Rattus norvegicus chromosome 14, whole genome shotgun sequence.